UCUGGUGUUUCUGACAAAAUGGGUACUCCUAUCCUUUGAGAGACUUAAGGUUUCUCAAGUUGCUGAGUUUUCAACUAGGCCAGGGGCCUCUCAAUGAAAAUCAUAAAACCACUGGCAAAUUUCUAAGGGAUAACUGGGCUUUCAGUUUGCUUCUUUUAUGAGAAAAAGAAGAGAAUCAAACAUUAGAAAUAUUAGCUUUCUAUUUUACCCGCCAUUUUUCUCAGAGGGAGAGGCCAGGCAUGGUAUUCUGUAUUGUUAUCAAGGAAAUUCUGUGUGUCUGCACCCCUGCUUUCAGUGAGAAGUGACCAGAGAAGGCUGAGUGUGUUUUAUUUCUAUUUUCGUGACAAAGAUUAUGUAGUUGUCAUUUUUCACCAACUGUCUUUCUUACUGGACCUUGAAAAUGGCAUUGCUGGAGCUGGCCCUCGAGGAGUUAAACCAAACAGGUCCCCUUUCUCCAUCAGCCCGGUUGAGUGAGUUCUCUGACCAGAGUUGCACACUGUUGUAAGGACGCUCAGAGGUGACUGAGGGGUAAAGGAUGUGUCAUCCUUUGCUAGAAUAAUCGGUGUUUAAAACAUCUUCUAGGACGUUUUCUACUCUGUUCUUUAGGCCUGCUUAAGAACUCUGCUCCAAGAGAAACAUAUCGGAAGAUGAUCCAUGAAGUGAAAUUCUACCCCAUGUUUUUUCUUCUACUUUCAUGAGAAAAAUGAUUGUACCUUCAGAUGCGACUCAGCCAUUUCAUAUGGCUUCUCUGACUGGUGAAGAGAGAUCUCUCUUUUAAGCCAGUGGUUCUCAAACCUGAGCCUACAUCUGAAUCUAGUGGAAGGUCUUGUUAAAACACAGAUCAUCAAGUCCCACCAUGAGGCUUUCUGAUUUAGUAGGUUUGGGACCAGGUCUGAGAACUUAUAUUUCUAACAAGUUCCCAGGAGAUGCAGACGCUCCUGGACACGCUCUUUGAGACCCUCUAUUCUAAGCAAACUUGUGAGUUAAGUGAACAUGCUUCUUCUAAAGUUUCUGAAAUAUCUAGGUUUUUUCAUAGCACAGUUUCACAGCUAAGUGAAAAUCGGGCCUCUAGUUGGAAAAGGAAGGCCAUAAUAACAUAGGCUGAUGGAGCGCUCAUGAGGAAGUUCGAAAUUAAACAGGAUGAUCCAUUUCAUAGAGCACACACCUGAAUGAUUCCUUUGACUACAGGGUUCAAGGCACCUCGGCUGUGAAGUUAGGCAUAUCAUAAAUGAGACCCAGUGUGACCUUGUGGUAUGUCUUGUCUUCCAAAUAUGGGCUUCAUUAGGGCACCCCUGGGGGAGUACAUUGUAAUAGCUCUGGCGAUAUGUGCAAGGGGAUAGUACUGCCUUCCUCAGGCUGCAUCUCUUUUGGCGUUAGCUUUGGCGUAUGCCUGGACAAGGACCUGGAAGUUGUUUCUCAAAACAACCAAAGCACUCAAACACAUAGGCUUUCAAAGUGGCCAUUUCCUUUGAGGUUCCUCCCCUUCCCACUUUCGAAGGGGCUGGAGAAAAUGGCUCUGCCUCUAGCUAUGCGGUAUCAUCAUAGAUGGAAGCUCAUUUUCUUCGCUAGGGUUAAGCCUGGUUAAAGAGGAGAAGACCACUGUGCAUGCACAGCCUGUCCCCAGGAAGACUUGUCAGCCUACGCUAUACAAAGAUGGAAAUCAAGCUGGUUCACUGUGGAAUCCAAGGCCAGGGUCAGAGUUUCCGCCGGCCUGCCUGCAGUUGAAGGGGUCCUAUCACAGGGAACAGCGCCCCACUUCCUCCUUCGAAUGGUGUCCUGAACAACAAGGCCUUGAGCCUCAGGAUCUACACGGGGAGGAAAUGAGAACUUGUGCCAAAUCAGGCAGUUGCCUGAUUCCUCUUGUGGCGGAGGAACCACAAUGAGGUCAGUCCCCUGCAACUGUCCCCUGGGACAGCUCGGUGAACUCCUGGACUACCAGACACUGCCGGCUCCCCAUCUGAAUGCUGGAUCCGAAGUCAAGCUGGUUUGUUUUUGACAGAGUGGCCUUUGAAUUCUUAAAAUAUGUUCUGACUGGUGUCCAGCCAGUGGGAGAUGUGAUUACAGUAAUUGAUGGGCCUAUGAUAGACACAGCUCUCUGAAAAUGCAGUGUUGAGUGUUUUGAAAGGGAUUCCAUGAACUCUUAUUUAUACAUGACUCCGGUUUUCUGUAUGUGAAAGGCUUGUGGCUAAUGUGUCAAAUGAGGACAACCAAACCACCAAGGUCUUUUCCCUGGAAGAUCACAGUAGAAGAAUUGAGGGCUAAGAAAAUGCAGGCAUUUGAGACAAUAUGGUCAUUGUUGUAAGAUAAUCUCCUUUACAUUUUCUUUAAAAAAAAAUUUUUUUUUAAUUGUUUGAUGGUUGGGGUAGACAGAGAUAAAAGUAAGGCAAAAAUGUACACUACAUUCAAAAUCUGGGUCACAUCUACCCAUAUCCUACGUUCCUGGAACAUCUAAUUUUGUUAAAAGGUUAAAGCUGAGAAUUUCAGAGUUGAAUAUCUUCCUUAGCAUUCAGAAACAGAAACUUCAAAAAUUUAUGAAAGCAAAUACAGAAAGAACAGAAAGUAUGAGCUAUAUCUUCAACUAUCUGAGGUCAAGGCUUUUUGGUGUAGUUGUUCUUUCCAUUUUAUUAGUGAGUGUUUUUGUAUUCUUGAUUUAAUGGGUUUAUUGUCGAAGUUUCUAUUAUUUUAAUUUCUCUCAUCUACUCAGGAGGAACAGUAAGCAAACCCAAGGCAAUAUAGAUGAUGUUCUCAACUGUUCAGUUUUAUCCAGAAUCUGCCUUCAGUGGUGACCAGGUAGCUUAUUCCAGCCACAUGGCUACUAAUACUUAGAUGCUCCAUAUUCUUUGCUUGUGAUGUAACAAUGCAGUAGAAACCUAGGGAGAAAAUUGACCCCUCGAAUGAAAGUUUCUUCGAAUCUGGCAUUUUGUUGUUUAUCUGUAAAGUUAAUUUUACCUCUGUGUUUCUACCACUUUUAGAAAAGCCACUGGGAAAUAUUUAACUAUUUCAGUGUACCUUAAUUAUCAAAACAGGAGUGUGUUUGUUAUGGCAGUGCUGAUGACAAAGUGCCACAGCACUUCCAUAGUCUGGAGAGAAUUAGGAUAUCAUUAUAGUCCUCUCCAGUCAUUCCAGAAUGAGAUCAGAAGAGAUUGUCAUCCUCUUUGCAAAUGAGAAACAGGUAUAGGUGUGAAGAGACCUGGCCAUGACCAUUCAGCAAAUGAAAUGUCCACUGGAAGAUGGGGUUGACCUCUUAUGCAUCAGGGAGGACUUCUUACCCUGGACAAGAGCAUGAGGUCCACCAAGACACUUGGAAGAAACACAUCAUCUUUCCUGGAUGUUCUAAUUUGGGGGCCCAUCAAUAUAUGGCAUUUGCUUCAUGUGCUUGCUGAAAACUAGUUGAUGAAAUUGUUCCCACACAGCCUGCAUGGAUGCCAGUUGCAUGUGGGCAAGUUGAGCCAGAGAUGUGGCGUGAUUAUGUCAUAACAGGCGGUCUCUGCUCUGAAGCUCUGUCAGUCGGGCCCGUGCAUUUCAUGCCACCAGCUUGCAGUCGUGCUUCUCCACCCAGCGAUGGCUCCUUAGGCAGCAGGGCUGCUGUACCAAUGGGCUACACCCUGAGUGGCUGACAGAACAGAAAUUCACCACCUCAGUUCCGGAGGCCAGAAGUCUGAGAUCAAGGCAUUGGCAAGAGGCUGAAGAACAGAGAACGGCUUCCGGCUGUCUGGUUUCCUUCGGGCCAAGGUCUCUGGGCAAGGUGCUUUCCAAGCCUGUGUAACCAAGCAGAAAUCCCUAGGGAGUGUAUAAAUUCAAGUUUCUGCCAUGCAGGAGAGGAAACUGCCAUACCCACAAAUGCCUCAUCCACAGCCAACUUGACAUUCUUCACAGUGAGCCAUAAAGAAGCGGAGUCUCAAACAGUCUCUCAAUGGCUUGAGAAAGUCACCCACGUUCACAGAGGCGACUCUGAUCGCCAUCAAAAUAAGAAGAUUGAGAAUAUGAGGCAAACGACAAUGGUCCCUCCUCUGGGGGUUCGCUUUCUGCGGUUUUGGGUACCUGCAGCCAAGCCCGGUCGGGAAGCAGGUGAUCGAUCCUCCUCCUGACAAAUUGGCGGAUGAUCCAUAGCGCCUAACGCCACGUCUCAGCGCCUUCCGUCGUCCACCUGCCUCCGUCUCAUUGUCUCAUCACGUAGGCAUUUAAUCAUCUCACAUCACCGCAAGAAGGGCCUGCCCCAUGAGAACACUGGAACAUCUGGUUGAUGUCUGCACCUGGAAAGGGCUGAAGCAACCGACUGGCAAAAAUCCUGCACACAUGACUCUCAGCAUGGAUAUAGAUGAGAAAACUAAAGCUCAGAGAGGUCAAGCAACUUUCCCAGGACGCCUCAGCUAGUCAGUGCAAGAACUGAACAUAAAUCCACGUCUACCCACGUAACUCCAGCGCCUUCCCCCUAAAUCAACCUUUUUUUCUGGAUUGCUUGUUUUUUUUUUUUUUUCUUUUCUUUUUGUUCACUGUGGAGACCUGAAGAAGAAUCCGGUGGUCCUCGGUCCUGAAAAGGGUCUACCAGAAUUCAGAGGAUCUUGUGUCUCUUGCAUUCAAAGCCAUGGCUCCUGGCAGCUGGGACCUGGGCCUCACCACGUGCACCACGCGUCGCUGGCUUCCAGGUGCCAGGGGCUUGGGCCGAGGCCACACAGUUGUCUGCACGGGGCCCGGCCCCACCGCUGGCUGUCUGGAGUGAGCGCCCGGGAUGGAUCCUCUCCGUCUGCCAGGCUGUUUUCCUCAUCCAUCUGCCUUGUUGGCUUUUAAUGCAAGCAGGAAACAAAACUGAAAAAAGAGGAAAUCGAUGCUUCACAGAAAAGGGACAACAUCUUCCUUUAGCCAGUGGGGGGUCUGAGGAGGGGCGCGGUGACUAAGGUUUGCGGGGCGCUGUUACCCGCUGGUGAGGGGCUACAGAAGCCAGCUGCGGAUCAGGCCGUGCCACCGGUGCCUGCGAGUGGCUGAUGCGGAGGCCUCUUGGCGGCUGGGGGAGGUGGCACGAGCUGUCAGCUUCGAGCAGGAAGCCAACCCAGCCCGCGGCACCCGGAGGGCGAACAGUUGAAUGAAACACACACUUGGUGAGGAUGUUCGGCUUACAGAUGUCACUAAGCUGAAGCCGUGAUCGCUAGGAGCCAAUAAAUCGCGGCUUGCGGCCUUGGACCCCACCGACCUGACGCUCUCUUUCCUCACCUGCGGCCGAGAAGGGAUACGGGAUAAGCUGCUUCUUGGCCGCAAGUCCUGGGAAUACUAUUUUGUGUUUGGAAACUGCCAGAGAAUCACUGAUGAGCCAGUCCAUUGCGCCGAGUACGUUGGUCGUGGUGGGCUCCCUUCCGGUGACUGAGGCAGAAGCCAGGGAGAGCACAAGUUCUGGUGGAAUGAACUUCACCCUUGCUUGGGAAUCAACAUGGGAAAUACAAUAGGGUGCAUUUGAGAAACAGUAUCCCCGAUGUCUACGAAAGGCCAGGCAGGUGCCAAUCACUUUGAUUCGAUUCUCCUAACAACCCUGUCCACAAACUCAGUUUACAGCUGACACAACGCAGGCAGAGAGACGGAAUGAUUUGUCUGAGGUCAUACGGAAUGAUUAGUGCUGCAGAACCGUGAUUUAGACCCAGACCUCCCAGACUGCAAAAUGCUGGCCGAGAGAAGCUACUUGCAGACGGCCACGGCCAGCACUCAGAAGUGGAGAACAUUGUUUUGGAGUCAAAGAGACGGGCCCCAGAGGCAGGCAGGAAGAGUAUCAGACUUAGCAACAUUGCCAGCUUCCACAAACCAGCUGAUGACCCAUGUGAGCCCAGAAUGGAAAAGACUGUCACAUGUUGGGUGCCUGGCCUGGACCUCACAUCAGGUGGUAUCGAUCCCAGAUUCGUCUCCCGAGGCCCUUCCAAUGCGCUUACCUACCUGGAGCCUCUCGCUGGGACAGGCACAAAGAACAGGACCUAAGAAUUCCAUUUCUAAGAAUAAUUUUGUGUAAGGAAAACCUCCCAGUGAAAAUGGUCUGAUGAAAUGUGCUUAGUUUGGCUUUGGCCGAGCUCCUCGUCGUCCUAAACGAGUGCACAAAAACACGCACAAACAAUAUUUGCUACCGCCUGAAAAGUGUCACCCCGCAUUUACGGCAAAAGCAAUGGAGGAGAUUGAGAAGUGGAGACUGGCCCCUAAGAAGAGCUCCGCUUACAUAAAAGAGGAGGGCCGAAGGAGGUGUGGACUGCUGCCACCAAGCGGUGAGCCACGUAAGCCUGAUGGCUGCCAAGAGCCCUCACUUAUCCGGAACCCAGCCUGGUCCCUGGGGAAGGUGGACAGGAAGAGGAGGAAAGUGAAGAAGACGCCAGUGCCGCCAAAGUCACCGUUAGGAAAAGACGCGUCCUAAAGCCGAAUGUGCUUUUUAUUCGGAGAACGCCGCAUCGGGACCUCAUUCGUGCUGUUUUAAGGCCCGAUUCUAACAAGCUUAGUUUUCAAACCCUAUAGCACGUUAGAAUCAAGGAAUUAGCACGCGAAGAAAGCCAGUGAACACACUACAUAUUUAUUUUAGUCUUAACAAACACCAAUAGCAACCAACGCGACACUGGUUACGGACUCAAUUUUAAGGAUGAUGAAACAGGUUCAGAGAAGGUCAGCCAGUAAGUGAUCAAGUCUGUCUUCACAUUCAGGGUUCUGGCCUCAGAGCUCAUGUCUCUUCCUUUUCUCCCCCUCGCCUUUCCAAAGACAGGCACGCCGAGAAGCAAGCCUUCAUGGCAGCACAAUGACAGGGCAAGGGCGGGAGACAGCAUGGAAUCAGUAUUGAAAAUUUGCCGCACCCUGGGAUGAUCCGGUAUAGAGGAAAAUGGCCUCCUCGGUUCCCAAAUGCGUCUAUUUUAGAGGAUAGUCGUCAUUGAUUUGCAUCAAUAUGUCCAAAUGCGUCAACUUUCUCGCUGUAAAGAGUAGGGAGAAAGAAUCCUGGGGGGGGGGGGAUACAGGUUCAGGGGAUCCAGGCGUAGCUUUGCCUUUCACUGGCUGUGGGAACUUAGCCAUGUUACAUCACCUCAUUGCGCCUCUGUUUCCUCAUCUGAAAAAUUAACAUAAUUAUUCCGCCUACCUCAUGGAGCUGGUUCAGGAGGAUUCAAUGAGGCAAUUCGUAGAAAUAGUUAAAGCUGUACCUGACGCUUAGGAGGCAUGACUUAUGAAGCAUAGACGCUUUAGAGAGGUAAACGCUUACCUCCCGAAAGGACUAAAUCUGACUUCUUAUUUAAAUUGCUCAUCUGUCCAUUCAUUCAUUCAACACACAUUCACUAAGUCCAUAUGAUGAGCCAGCAGCGGGUGGCCACCAGGCAAACAAAUAUAAAUAAACUACCGCUCUUCGCCAGUAGGAGCUCAGACGUGUAAACAAAAAAUCUGCCGCGAUGAGGGAGGUGCUGGGAGAGCAUUUCUGCGGGAACACGGAUACGGGAACGUGCAGCCUCCUACCUCGCCCUGGAGGAGUCAGGAUGGCCGCCCGGAAGUGAGGUUCCACAGAAGGUGAAGAGGGAAAAGGCAUUCCAAUGGAGGACACAGCAUGUUUAAGCAAAGGCCCAAAUGGAGGAAGAGCAGAUCCCCUGUGGAGGAUACAGAACACGCUAAUAGAAGCCAGAUCUUUUUGGUUAGUUUUGAUUGAGCUUCAUGGAGUUAUAACUCUGACAGUGGUAUUGUCAUUAAGAGGAGAAUGGUUUACUGUCCAAACUGGAAAUGGUGUCUUCUUGUAUGGGAUUGCAGCUGGAAUAAAGGGAGUGAAGACGAACAGAAAAGCAGGCACCUGGCUCUUCUUCCUUAUUCUACACUUCUGAGUGAGUUCUGAUCCCUCCCAGCCUCAAUUUCCCCAUUGCUAUGGGAACUGAAAUCAAUCCUACGGCCCACACUGUCUCCUGCAAAUGAGCUGGAUGAGUGUUCACCACCCUGAGCCCUCCAAUAUCCAGCACUGAAAAUUUCAGUUGUAAUUGCCGGUAUUACUCAGACAAGGACAAGAAAUAUUUCCAGUUCUGGGAAGAGCAGGGCUAACAGCUGUAGCUGAACACGAGAUGAGGGAGGAUGACACACCACAGACGUGCCCAGCUCUCGGGUGCUCCGCAGGGAACCUGGGCAGAAAAUGGCGGCCCCCGUCAGGCAUUUAAAUCUGUGCUUGCUGAUUCAGUCACACAUACCGGUGGUUAAGGCUCCUGUCUGUGCACCAUCACAGAAAGGAUAGAGUUUCUCGACUCCUGUCAACUCACGUCCCACCUCAGAGGGCUGGCCCUCAGCACAGCGUUGGUCAAAACGUGACAUUCCCUGAGACAUUGGGAGCUCCAACGUUUAUCAUAUGUUCCAGCUUUGCUUCUUUGAUCAGAGAAGAUCCCCAAAGAGGGAGUCAUCAACAGAUGAUUUUGGUCAUUCCUCGAUGAUAUAAAAUGUGCCGUGUUAGGAAUGGGGAUAGAAGAAUUAGAAACAAGAAGAAUGGAUUCGUAAACAGCAGUGCAAUGAAGGGUCACAAGUGCCGUAAUGGGAACGUGUAGAAAAGCCUGUGAGGACCCAGGGAAGGCGGAAGUCGGAGUGGGAAAGUCCAUCGUGGUGAACAUGACCCCUAUGGAGUAGGAGUCAUGAUAAUUCCCAUAUUUCAGAAGAGGAAACAGAAGAGUAGAGAGUUUAAGGACUAUACUCAGAUUACACAGCUGGUGAGUGCUGGACCUGGGAUUCACCCUGUGACCAUGUAAACACAACGUUGCCCUGGUUGUGAAUAAAUAGCAGUAACAAGAACAAAGACUUCUGACUUUUCAGGUCAAAUCCGUCUUGGGACCCAUAACCCACUUGGUUUCAACCCCUGAGAGACAGUUUUCUGGUACCAGUCUAGACCACUUGGCACCGAAGCAAAUAGGAACAUACUUACACUCACAUUCACACACGCACGCACACGUAUGCUCCCAGGCCCACUUUGGAGUGGACUUACCCCCUUUCCGAGACCUGAACUUCUACCUUCUGAAGAACACAAUGCAAAGGCGGUAAAAUGUGGUGGUUUCUCAAGCAAUUCCCUAUUAUGAAAUGGAACGAGAACGUUGCCAUGAUAUAAAUUCCGGGGAUAUUACAUGAAGGAGCCAGCUACUGUUUUGUAUAGUGAUUGGUCCUCCUUGGAAGAAUUUCAAAUGGUCAUUAUUCAUUGGCAUAGCCUCGGGGAAGAUGAGGGGGAUAAAAAAAAAUUGUAAGUGAGAGCCCUUGAGGCUUUUUAUCAGGCGCCACCUUGUCAUAAACACAAUGAGAUUGGGUUUCCUGGGUGUUCUCAGGGCUCAUUAUGCAACAAGCCCCUGGCUCUGCCCUUCCCAGAAAAGGUCCAGAAGCCACUCUUGCAAUGUAGUCUCCCCGCUGACCUCAGAAGGGCAUGGACAGCCAGGGCUCAGAGUGUGAUUCUCAUAGUCCUGGGAUGGAAAGAGGACUCAGUGUGGAAGGGAAAACAAUGAAGGAGAACACACCAUCAGGCGACUGUGUCCACCACCUCCUUCUCCUACCAUUUCUCGGAGUCCUGACCUCAGCCGUGGGCAGCAGUAGCCUUUGUAAGGAGAAAACCAAGACUCAAGCUCUAAUGAAUGGACUGACAGGUGAUUCAAAAGAGGUGUCCUACUCCUUUUAUCAUGUGAGAAUGGAAGUCUUCAACCAGAAGAGGACCCUCACCCAACCAUGCUGGCACCUUGAUCUUGGACUUCCAGCCUCCAGAACUGUGAAAAAUAGAUUUCUGCGGUUUAUAAGCCAAAAAAAAAAAAAGGUAUUAUAUGGAAUAUGUCAACCAGAAAUGUAAGGAACCAAAAAAAUGGGGAAGGGGACAUGAAAAGAGACUUAUCGUUAGUGAAAGGAAGAUGAUGGCCCUGAGAGGGGAGGGGUUGGCUGUGGCUGAUACACCACAACCUGCCACGUCAGUGACAGCAGUGCUGUGAGAAUAGGCAAGUCCCCAAAUCGCACUGGUUUGGCACCAUGUUUAAUGUUUGCUUAAAGACCAGUCUCAGGGCAUCCUUCGCUAACAGCCUUCCACACAGUAUUUCACAGAGCCAGCCAGAUGAUGGAGGGUGACAGAGAACGUGCAAGAUCACGGGUGUUCAUGGGCCAGGCCCGAGUGUCACACAUCACUCUCGCCUACAUUCCUGACCUGGAACCGAGCCAGCGUGGGCCCACGCAGAUACCAGGACAGCCACUUCCCAGCCAUGACUGUACGCUGUAGAAGGGAAGCCUGAAUCUUCCGUGGGUAGCCGCUGUCUUCGCCACACCUGCACGCAUAUUACGAUACAACGAAUGAACUUCAAAAGAUUGUUUGAGAGAGUCCCACUCUCCAAUCAGUCACUCAUUUCAAGGAAGCACUCACAUGGCAUGCGAUUUACAGCAGGACUGCUUUAUCCUGAGGGUCAAACCACUGAGAAGGGAACCUGUGAGUUUACUGUAAUUUGUGACCUAAAUUAUGUUUCUUGUGAAUACCACUCUUUUUAUGGUGCUCUAAUUUUGAAACAUUUUCUGUUAGAUCCUAGGUGCCUGGAAAUGUUACUGUAUUAAUCACUUUCAGAAUUAGCAUUUUUUAAAUGGUAAAUCGAAGUUUGUCAGGAUGCUUUAUUAUGGUAUCAUGGACACUUCCUUUGGUUGAUAUAUAUUGUAGAGACGUGACAAAGACAGUAAGACCCAUAUCCGUAUCUAUGUGGUGUCUGUGUUUUUAAGACACUUCAAAUUAAAAAGGGGUUUGCAUUUAAUGAAUGUUUAAACGAUUUCCUUUGUGUCUUGAGCUGUCAUCCUGAUCAUUUGCCCUGUAGUUCUUGUUAAGCAGCAGUAGCAGAAGUCCUCAGACAUAGAAUAGAGGGGGCUAUCUUCUGUCCGCCUGGAAUGUGUUCAUAUGUGGUCAUGAGGGGUCCUCUGUAAGCAGAUAGUGGGAGCAGGGCAUUACCAAAUCUUUACAGUUCCAAAAGGUGAGGGGCCUUUCUCCAUCUCAUCCUUUCUGAGCAUUUCAGUUCUGAACACAUGAACAGCAGAAACUCUGGGUGUACAGGGGAGGAAAAUGAUAAUUUACAGUCCCGUGUAAGAUACUUAUUUGAAACUAGAUUGAAAUAUGUCUAUAUCAGAUCUCCAUUUUUCUGGGUAUCAGUCUAUCUGUAUCUACCUUGUUUAUGUUCUGUCAUUAUUCCCACCGAGUAAGUCUCAUCCUUGUGAUACAGUUCUUCAUGUCAGGAAUUGUUUCUUCUAUUAUUUUUAUAACUCUACCUCUACCACCAAAGUGUGUGCAUGCAUGCAAGCACACACACAUGCACACACAUACAAACACACACACAUGACACAGCUUGAAAAGGCAGCCCAUGACUUGAAGUUGAUUUUGAUGUUUUCUUCUUGAAGAAGCAAGAUAUAGUGGCAAAAGAAAAGACCACAAUUCAAAAUGAUAUAUUAGAAUCAAGUAAGACAGUGAGUAAGUGAUGGGAGAGCUCCAGCAUUUUAGACAGCAAUGGAGAAAAGUGGGGGAGCGUGAAGUGUAUACUCUAGGUUGAGUUAUCCUACGUUAAAGGGCUAUUCCAGAAGUUACACUCAGUAGUUCAGUUUACACUCUAUUUGUCAGAACCUAGCUACAGGUCCGUACUUGCUGCAAGGGAAUCUGGGAAGCAUAAAUUUUGGUUGGGUGUUUUGUGACUAGGAUAAAAUUGGAGUAUUUUUAGUAGAGAAGGGGAGAAUGGGCUUUAGACAGGCAAUUCACAGUGUCUAGCAGAUCCAAGUUAUGCUUUGGGGGCCAUCACUGGAAAUGGAGUCCUAGAACAAAAUACAAUCAGUUAUAGAAAAAAGGCUAAACUCGGGGUGCCUGGGCGGCUCAGUCGGUUAAGCGUCCGACCUCAGCUCUCACGGUUUGUGAGUUUGAGCCCCACAUCAAGCUCUGUGCUGACAGCUCGGGGCCUGGAACCUGCUUCAGAUUCUGUGUCUCCCUCUCUCUGCCCCUCCCUGCUCAUGCUCUGUCUCUCUGUGUCUCUCAAAAAUAAAUAAAUGUUAAAAAAAAAAAAAGGCUAAACUAUGUUUUCCCCAGUCUGAGUUGUCUUAUGGAAAUUUCAGCUCUGUUAUGAGUUUUUGCUACAACUAAGGAUUCCUGCUGUUGUGGUGACAGUGGUUCGUUGGAAAAUACCACAUCAGCAAGCAGAGGGAAGAAGCCAUGUCAAGCGAAGACAAAACCCAAGCACAAUCUUCUUUUUACUGAAACACACGAGAGCUUUGCCACAGCAUAAAUGAUGAUGACGGAAGUGUCUACAACAGCAAGCAGGGCUCACAAACACCACCGGACACUCCAGCGCUUGGAAGGGCGCUCCGAAAUUACACACGGGGGUUAGGUAUCACCGACUCGAGGGGGUGGAAAAAGCAUUCUCGAUCCUUCUCUGCCAGAAGAGGUCUCUCCGCAUAGCUGGAAUGGGGAUGAGUGAGGUCAAGUUAGGCUCAAGCACGGCCCAAUGUGAACUAAGAAAACCCUUCACACUGUCUGGGGAAUGUUAUCCAAGUACUUAAAUUAGGCCGACGCCCUAAAACAGCCUAACACAAGAAAGACUUUGGUAUCUCACUUCUCUCCCAUGUCUUCUUCCUUUUGCCCAGCCAGGGGGAGUAAGUGGAUUCAUUGCCUGAGCAGAAUUAGGUCAGACCAGAGCAGAAUAUCAAGCUGACAGAGGGGAGCUUCGUGCCAACAUCGAUUAAAUGAGAAGGGAAAAGAAAGUCUCACUCUGAAUCCAAAUAUGGGAGUUUAGAAGGGAAAAGGCUAAUGUUAGGCUACUUAAGAAUUAAUACAAAAAGACGCAUUUGUUAUCAGAGAAUCAAAGAGUUUCCAUCCAUGCGAAUACUUUGUUGUAAAGAAGCCACGUUUUUAUGUUGAUAAAUCUUUAAGACGCUCAAGCUUUAGCUGUUAGGCUAAAAACUGUUCAUUUGUUUUUUAGAAAGCCUUCAAACACUGUGCAUAUUACAGCUCUUCAAAUAUAUAUCAUGGCAUACAUUAUUCUUGCAGAAUUUUUUUGUUAAGAGUGUUCUGACUGCCACCUUCCACCCUGGAACUGAAAGAGAGGCUCUCCGUCAUAAAGGGGACAGCUUCUGACAGUCUUGUCUCCACAAAUGACAAUCUCAUUAAUGAUGCUAAGUUUAUAUUGUAAAUAUAUUAUCACCACUCUCAUACCAACUGCUUAUGUUAAAAAAUAAUUACUAAUUAGUUCCAGCAAGUGCCUUAUAAAAAGGUGGCUAAUUUUAACUAUUUUUCUUCUCCUUAUUUCAGAAAAAAAAAUGAGUGAUUCAGAGAAAGCAAUCUGUUACCUGGAGCAAUUUAGAAUUUUUUAAUGAUCUGUGAUCAGAGUUUUUAAUAAUCUCAUGAAAUGGUGGUUCAGGUAACAAGAAGUGACUUGUAGCUUCCAGCUUGUGUCUUUAUCCUUGAAAUUUAAUGAUUAAGAAUAAAGCUAUUUUUUAAACUUU